rnacentral:rRNA from 1 species
CUACGGGUCGCUGCAGUGGGGAAUAUUGCACAAUGGGCGCAAGCCUGAUGCAGCCAUGCCGCGUGUAUGAAGAAGGCCUUCGGGUUGUAAAGUACUUUCAGCGGGGAGGAAGGGAGUAAAGUUAAUACCUUUGCUCAUUGACGUUACCCGCAGAAGAAGCACCGGCUAACUCCGUGCCAGCAGCCGCGGUAAUACGGAGGGUGCAGGCGUUAAUCGGAAUUACUGGGCGUAAAGCGCACGCAGGCGGUUUGUUAAGUCAGAUGUGAAAUCCCCGGGCUCAACCUGGGAACUGCAUCUGAUACUGGCAAGCUUGAGUCUCGUAGAGGGGGGUAGAAUUCCAGGUGUAGUGGUGAAAUGCGUAGAGAUCUGGAGGAAUACCGGUGGCGAAGGCGGCCCCCUGGACGAAGACUGACGCUCAGGUGCGAAAGCGUGGGGAGCAAACAGGAUUAGAUACCCGCGUAGUC